rnacentral:rRNA from 1 species
UACGGAGGGGGCUAGCGUUGUUCGGAAUUACUGGGCGUAAAGCGCACGUAGGCGGCUUUGUAAGUCAGAGGUGAAAGCCCGGAGCUUAACUCCGGAAUAGCCUUUGAGACUGCAUCGCUUGAAUCCAGGAGAGGUGAGUGGAAUUCCGAGUGUAGAGGUGAAAUUCGUAGAUAUUCGGAAGAACACCAGUGGCGAAGGCGGCUCACUGGACUGGUAUUGACGCUGAGGUGCGAAAGCGUGGGGAGCGAACCGG